rnacentral:rRNA from 1 species
UACGUAGGGUGCAAGCGUUGUCCGGAAUUAUUGGGCGUAAAGAGCUCGUAGGCGGUUUGUCGCGUCUGCUGUGAAAACUCGGGGCUUAACCCCGGGCCUGCAGUGGGUACGGGCAGACUAGAGUGCGGUAGGGGAGACUGGAAUUCCUGGUGUAGCGGUGAAAUGCGCAGAUAUCAGGAGGAACACCGGUGGCGAAGGCGGUUCUCUGGGCAUGUCCUGACGCUGAGGAGCGAAAGUGUGGGGAGCGAACAGG